GAUGAACGCUGGCGGCGUGCCUAAUACAUGCAAGUCGAGCGAACAGAUGAGUAGCUUGCUCCUCUGACGUUAGCGGCGGACGGGUGAGUAACACGUGGAUAACCUACCUAUAAGACUGUGAUAACUUCGGGAAACCGGAGCUAAUACCGGAUAAUAUAUUGAACCUCAUGGUUCAUUAGUGAAAGACGGUUUUGCUGUCACUUAUAGAUGGAUCCGCGCCGCAUUAGCUAGUUGGUAAGGUAACGGCUUACCAAGGCAACGAUGCGUAGCCGACCUGAGAGGGUGAUCGGCCACACUGGAACUGAGACAAGGUCCAGACUCCUACGGGAGGCAGCAGUAGGGAAUCUUCCGCAAUGGGCGAAAGACUGACGGAGCAACGCCGCGUGAGUGAUGAAGGUCUUCGGAUCGUAAAACUCUGUUAUUAGGGAAGAACAAAUGUGUAAGUAACUAUGCACGUCUUGACGGUACCUAAUCAGAAAGCCACGGCUAACUACGUG
rnacentral:rRNA from 1 species